rnacentral:rRNA from 1 species
GUGGGGAAUAUUGGGCAAUGGGCGCAAGCCUGACCCAGCAACGCCGCGUGAGGGAAGAAGGCUUUCGGGUUGUAAACCUCUGUCCUUGGUGACGAAAAAAAUGACGGUAGCCAAGGAGGAAGCCCCGGCUAACUACGUGCCAGCAGCCGCGGUAAUACGUAGGGGGCGAGCGUUGUCAGGAAUUACUGGGCGUAAAGGGUGCGUAGGUGGCCUGUUAAGUUGGAUGUGAAAUACCCGGGCUUAACUUGGGGGGUGCAUACAAAACUGGGAGGCUAGAUUGCAGGAGAGGAAAGCGGAGUGCCUAGUGUAGCGGUGAAAUGCGUAGAUAUUAGGAGUAACACCAGUGGCGAAGGCGGGUUCCUGGCCCAUGACUGACGCUGAGGUGCGAAAGCCGGGGGAGCGAACGGGAUUAGAUACCCUUGUAGUCC